GACGAACGCUGGCGGCGUGCUUAACACAUGCAAGUCGAACGGAAAGGCACCUUUGGGGGUCCUCGAGUGGCGAACGGGUGAGUAACACGUGAGUAACCUGCCCUUGACUUCGGGAUAACUUCAGGAAACUGGGGCUAAUACCGGAUAGGAAUCCUUGCUGCAUGGUGGGGGUUGGAAAGCUUCGGCGGUUUUGGAUGGACUCGCGGCUUAUCAGCUUGUUGGUGGGGUAGUGGCUUACCAAGGCUUUGACGGGUAGCCGGCCUGAGAGGGCGACCGGCCACAUUGGGACUGAGAUACGGCCCAGACUCCUACGGGAGGCAGCAGUGGGGAAUAUUGCACAAUGGGCGGAAGCCUGAUGCAGCAACGCCGCGUGCGGGAUGACGGCCUUCGGGUUGUAAACCGCUUUCAGCAGGGGCGAAGCUUGUGGUGACGGUACCUGCAGAAGAAGCACCGGCUAACUACGUG
rnacentral:rRNA from 1 species